rnacentral:rRNA from 1 species
GAUGAACGCUGGCGGCGUGCCUAAUACAUGCAAGUCGAGCGAACAGACGAGGAGCUUGCUCCUCUGACGUUAGCGGCGGACGGGUGAGUAACACGUGGAUAACCUACCUAUAAGACUGGGAUAACUUCGGGAAACCGGAGCUAAUACCGGAUAAUAUAUUGAACCGCAUGGUUCAAUAGUGAAAGACGGUUUUGCUGUCACUUAUAGAUGGAUCUGCGCCGCAUUAGCUAGUUGGUAAGGUAACGGCUUACCAAGGCAACGAUGCGUAGCCGACCCGAGAGGGUGAUCGGCCACACUGGAACUGAGACACGGUCCAGACUCCUACGGGAGGCAGCAGUAGGGAAUCUUCCGCAAUGGGCGAAAGCCUAACGGAGCAACGCCGCGUGAGUGAUGAAGGUCUUCGGAUCGUAAAACUCUGUUAUUAGGGAAGAACAAAUGUGUAAGUAACUAUGCACGUCUUGACGGUACCUAAUCAGAAAGCCACGGCUAACUACGUG